rnacentral:rRNA from 1 species
GCUUGCUCCGCCCCGACGACGAGUGGCGAACGGGUGAGUAAUACAUCGGAACGUGUCCGCUCGUGGGGGACAACCAGCCGAAAGGUUGGCUAAUACCGCAUGAGUUCUACGGAAGAAAGAGGGGGACCCGCAAGGGCCUCUCGCGAGCGGAGCGGCCGAUGACUGAUUAGCCGGUUGGUGAGGUAACGGCUCACCAAAGCAACGAUCAGUAGCUGGUCUGAGAGGACGACCAGCCACACUGGGACUGAGACACGGCCCAGACUCCUACGGGAGGCAGCAGUGGGGAAUUUUGGACAAUGGGCGCAAGCCUGAUCCAGCUAUUCCGCGUGUGGGAUGAAGGCCCUCGGGUUGUAAACCACUUUUGUAGAGAACGAAAAGACACCAUCGAAUAAAUGGUGUUGCUGACGGUACUCUAAGAAUAAGCACCGGCUAACUACGUGCCAGCAGCCGCGGUAAUACGUAGGGUGCGAGCGUUAAUCGGAAUUACUGGGCGUAAAGGGUGCGCAGGCGGUUGAGUAAGACAGAUGUGAAAUCCCCGAGCUUAACUCGGGAAUGGCAUAUGUGACUGCUCGACUAGAGUGUGUCAGAGGGAGGUGGAAUUCCACGUGUAGCAGUGAAAUGCGUAGAUAUGUGGAAGAACACCGAUG